GUUGUAGCUCAGUGGUGGAGCGCUUGCCUAGCAUGCGUGAGGCACUGGGUUUGAUCCUCAGCCCCACA
rnacentral:tRNA from 1 species